rnacentral:rRNA from 1 species
UACGUAGGGGGCAAGCGUUGUCCGGAUUUAUUGGGCGUAAAGAGCGUGUAGGCGGCUUGGUAGGUCAGCUGUGAAAACUCGAGGCUCAACCUCGAGAUGUCGGUUGAAACCACCUGGCUAGAGUCCGGAAGAGGAGAAUGGAAUUCCCGGUGUAGCGGUGAAAUGCGUAGAUAUCUGGAGGAACACCGGUGGCGAAGGCGGCAUCCUGGACCAAUUCUGACGCUGAGGAGCGAAAGCCAGGGGAGCGAACGGG